GAACGCUGGCGGCGUGCCUAACACAUGCAAGUCGAACGGAGAUUAUUGACGGAAGUUUUCGGAUGGAAGACGGUAAUCUUAGUGGCGGACGGGUGAGUAACGCGUGGGUAACCUGCCCCGUACAGGGGGAUAGCGUCGGGAAACUGACGGUAAGACCGCAUAGGACCACAUAUUCGCAUGGAUAAGUGGUGAAAAGGGAAACCUGGUAUGGGAUGGACCCGCGUCCGAUUAGCCAGUUGGCAGGGUAAAGGCCUACCAAAGCUUCGAUCGGUAGCCGGACUGAGAGGUCGGACGGCCACAUUGGGACUGAGACACGGCCCAGACUCCUACGGGAGGCAGCAGUGGGGGAUAUUGCACAAUGGAGGAAACUCUGAUGCAGCGACGCCGCGUGAGUGAAGAAGUGCUCCGGCAUGUAAAGCUCUUUCAGCAGGGAAGAUGAUGACGGUACCUGAAUAAGAAGCCCCGGCUAA
rnacentral:rRNA from 1 species